UACGAAGGGGGCUAGCGUUGCUCGGAAUCACUGGGCGUAAAGCGCACGUAGGCGGCUUUUUAAGUCAGGGGUGAAAUCCUGGAGCUCAACUCCAGAACUGCCUUUGAUACUGAGAAGCUUGAGUCCGGGAGAGGUGAGUGGAACUGCGAGUGUAGAGGUGAAAUUUGUAGAUAUUCGCAAGAACACCAGUGGCGAAGGCGGCUCACUGGCCCGGUACUGACGCUGAGGUGCGAAAGCGUGGGGAGCAAACAGG
rnacentral:rRNA from 1 species